UACGGAGGGUGCAAGCGUUGUCCGGAUUUAUUGGGUUUAAAGGGUGUGUAGGUGGCGCCGUAAGUCGGGUGUGAAAUUUCGGAGCUUAACUCUGAAACUGCAUUCGAUACUGCGGUGCUUGAGGACUGGAGAGGAGACUGGAAUUCAUGGUGUAGCAGUGAAAUGCGUAGAGAUCAUGAGGAAGACCAGUGGCGAAGGCGGGUCUCUGGACAGUUCCUGACACUGAGACACGAAGGCCAGGGGAGCAAACGGG
rnacentral:rRNA from 1 species